rnacentral:rRNA from 1 species
UUUAAAAAUUUUUUAUUAAUUUUAUUAUUUUUUAAAAAAUAAUUUUUUUGUUUUAGUAUUUUUUAAAGAAAAAAUGAUUUUUAUUAUAGUUUAUUAGUAUUGUAAAAGAAAAAUGAAAAUUUAUAUUUUUAUAUUAAAAGAAGAUUUAUUUAAUUGUACCUUGUGUAUCAGGGUUGAUCAAAAAUAUAAUAUUAAUAUAUAUUUAUCUCGAAUUAAAAAGAUUUAAUUAUAAAUGAUUUAGUUAUUGUAACAUAAUUAUUAUAAAUUUAUAAUUAGAAAUGAAACGUUAUUCGUUUUUUAAUAUAUCUAGUUUUUUAAGAAAUAAAUUUAAUUUAGAUAUUUUUUUUAUUAUUAUUAUUUAUUUAAUAAUAAUAUAAAUUAAUGUUAGUAAUUUAAGGGAUAAGCUUUAAAUUAAAUUUUUAUAAAUUAUUUUUUAUUCAAUAAAAUAUAGGCUUAGAAUUAGCUUUUUUUAAUAAAUUUGUUAUAAUUUAUUUUUAUUAUUAAAAAAUUUAUUAAAUUUUAGAUUUUUAUUAAAAUUUUUAUUAAAAUUAAAAAAAUAAAAUAAUAAUGAUUAAAUUAGUAUAAAUUAUUUAUUUAAAUUAAUAUAAUUGAAAGGUUUAAUUAAGGAAUUCGGCAAAUAUAAUAUUUGCCUGUUUAUCAAAAACAUGUCUUUUUGAAAUAUAUUUAAAGUCUGGCCUGCCCACUGAAAUUUUAAAUGGCCGCAGUAUUUUGACUGUGCAAAGGUAGCAUAAUCAUUAGUUUUUUAAUUGAAAGCUCGUAUGAAUGGUUUAACAAAAUAUUAACUGUCUUAAUUAAAAUUUUAUUAAAACUUUAUUUUUUAGUUAAAAAGCUAAAAUUUUUUUAAAGGACGAGAAGACCCUAUAGAUCUUUAUAAUAAUAAUAUUUUUAAAUUAUUUAGAAGUUUUAAAUUAAUAAUAUUUUUAUUAUUUUAUUGGGGUGAUAAUAAAAUUUAAAAAACUUUUAUUUUACUUUACAUUGAUUUAUGACUUUAUGAUCCAUUAUUUAUGAUUAAAAAAUUAAGUUACCUUAGGGAUAACAGCGUUAUAUUUUUAGAGAGUUCUUAUCGAUAAAAAUGAUUGCGACCUCGAUGUUGAAUUAAGAGAUAUUUUAGAUGCAGCAGUUUAAUAAUAAAGUCUGUUCGACUUAUAAAUUCUUACAUGAUUUGAGUUCAAACCGGCGUGAGCCAGGUUGGUUUCUAUCCUUAAAUAAUUAAAAUAUUUUAGUACGAAAGGAUUAAAUAUUUAAAAUAAUUUUUUAAAAAAAGAAUAAAAUUAAUUUAAU